rnacentral:misc_RNA from 1 species
GAUGAAGAACGUAGCGAAAUGCGAUAAGUAAUGUGAAUUGCAGAGUUCAGUGAAUCAUCGAAUCUUUGAACGCACAUUGCGCCACUUGGUAUUCCGAGGGGCAUGCCUGUUCGAGCGUCAUUAUAACCCCUCAAGCUCAGCUUGGUGUUGGGGCCUGCUGCACUGGCAGCCCUUAAAAUCAGUGGCGGCGCCAUCUGGCUCUAAGCGUAGUAAUUCUUCUCGCUAUGGAGUCCUGGUGGAUGCUUGCCAUCAACCCCCAAUUUUUCUAUGGUUGACCUCGGAUCAGGUAGGGAUACCCGCUGAACUUAAGCAUAUCAAUAAGCGGAGGA